rnacentral:lncRNA from 1 species
CAGAGGCAAGUUCUUGCUAUGUUGCCCAGGCUGGUCUCGAACUCCUGAGCUCAAGCGAUCCUUCUGUCUCAGCCUCCCAAAGUGCUGGGACUAUAGGCGUGAGCCACCACACCCAGCCUCAUGGUCCAUCUUGAACUGUGCUGAGGGUGUUGGAGAUGAUGGGCUGGGAGUCCCUGAAGCUUUUAUCAGACCUGCUCCUGUCUCAUUGCCAGAACCAGUCUCAUGGCCCCAAACUGCAAGAGAAGCUGGGGAGUAGAGGAUAUACUUCCAUGGAUAUUGGGUGGGCACUAACAGUAUCUGCCACAUUGAUUACCUAUCAGCAUGUGAUUAACUGCUACCCACAGAGUACUUACCAUGGACCAAGCACUUUAUUCACAUCUUAUUAAUCCUCACAAAAAUCCAAAGAGGUGGGUGCCAUUUCACCCCAUUUCACACUUGAGGCGAUUGAUGCUCAGAGCUGUGAAGAAACUGAGGAGGUUACACAUGUAGACUGGGUCUAGUUAGCAUCCUCACCAGCUCUGUCUGAUUCCAAAGCCCAGCUGGGCUUUUCCACUACACCAAGCCCAAAACAGUGUUACUACUUCAUUAACAUAGAUUUCCUCAGGCUUUCCAUGUGUCAGUAUUUUGACCUUGUGGCUAUAUGCACUUCAGAGCAAUGCACCUGCCUUUCUUUAAGCAGAUUAGAUAAGAAUUCUUCUUCCUCCCAUCAUUGCCCUGCCAGUGGUGCUAAACUUCACCCACUACCCUCUCCUGAGCCUCUGCAGGUGAAGUAGUUGAAAACAGCUUCCCAGUGAAAGAAUCUGGAUUCAGCCACAACAUCGUAGGAAUGCCACAUUUCAAUCACCUGAUAACCACCUGAUCACAGUGGGUUUGCAGGACUCCCCUGCAAACCCACUGUGACAGCUGCAGCCUCACAGACUUAACUGCCAAGUGCACAAGCUUCCUCAUGCCAAACCCUGUAUGUCUUUGUGGCUUUUACUGUCCGUGGGACCUGGUCAGUGCAAAUGAUGGCUUUUUACCCUAUUGGCAAUCACAGGGAACUUAACAUUUCCUUCAGAAAUGCCUCCACUUGAAAUGUACAUGCAGGAUGUUGAGAAUGGAUUUUAGGGCCUUUAUUAUUUACCACUUGUAGAAAGCAUUUUAUUUCACAAGCUGUGUUUCAACUGACAGAGACCCUGUGGCCAGUGGUAUUCAACUUUGGCUGCACCUAGAGUCCUCUGGGAGCUUUUAAAAAUCCUGAUGCCCACGCCACUCCCCAGAUCAUUCAUUCACAAGCUCUGCAGGCGAGCCCCGGCAUCAGGAUUUUGUAUAGCUUCCUCAGUGAUUUCAAGCUGCUGCUAACUUAACACCCUCCACUGUAGACUGAUUUUUGCCAGAAUCAGCAGGGUGUAGAGAAGCAAGGGAGAAAAAACAAGACCUUUAGGAACUGUUAGCCUGACACUAGGGCCAAACUCUCUUGAGGAAUUCAAAUUAUUGUCACCUUUUUUUCCCCAUAGCAAAUACAGCCAACAUAAAUGUCAAUUAAUUAAUUGAAAAAUGUACCCAAAGCUGAGCAAUGUAAGGCCCUCUAGCCUGGAACCGUUUGCUUUUCAAAGUUGAGUGUGGUGUUUUUGUCCUGGCCUGUUGCUGACUAGCAUAUAUUUUUAAAAUCAUGAUCCUUUAAGAUAUGUGCCAAGAGAUAAUGUUUUUAUUAAAUCAAAAUGCUGUAUAGACAUU